GUAUCUUGUUGCCAUAUUGAAAUAAAUAUUUUAUAAAUGUUACCAUAUUCCAGUAAAGAUUUAAAGUGUAGGUUACGUAUCUCUAAUUAAACAAGUAAGAUAUGGUUUCACAGACAGGGCUUAGACUAAACCAGGAUUAGUUCAAUCAGGGCAUUUAAAGUCAAGCAGCUUUCAACCGUGUCACAAACCACGAUGGAGGCAGAGGGUUUGGUGCAAGUGAACAGUUUGUUUACAAGUGCUAAUGUGACAAUGAUAUGAUGACUGGAAAUCCCAGAGCUCUGGAGAGUUACACAGGGGAAGACAUCAAUGGGAGACCAGGGGAGAUCGUAUUUAUCUAAGAGCAUAAGAAUGAACAGGUUAGUGAAACCAGCCGGCCACCAGUUCAGGACAGUGAACAGUAGACCGGACACUGGAGUACUGAGGUGAAGGUGUCUUUAUCCUGGUGAGUGAUUACUGGGUGCAGGUGCAGGUGAUCAGUACUCCGGUGAUUGGGAUCGUGCUUGAUGAGAGUCAGGUGUGGGUGAUGAUUGGGGCGGCUGCACUGUAAGAAAUGAUUCUGUGGUCAUGUAGAUUUGAAUUAAUGUUUUUGGUUAAAAUGUAUUCAAUAUAAAUGUGUUUUUGAUUUUGAGGCAAAUAUUUAAUUAAAUUUCAAAUAAAAAUGGUUGGAAUAAAAUCUACCCAUUGUAGUUAAAUAAAACUAAAGCAUUAUAUUUACCUAAUUCCAAAUAGAGAGAAUAUUGAGUGAAUUCAAAUUAAUGUAAUGAGGCAAAUUUGAAUUGGAAAGCACUUCCUGUCAAAGUGCGCCUUUUUUUUUUUUUUUUUUUUUUUUUUUUAGAAAUGCAGCAGGCCUACAAGACAUUUGAAGAGAGUAGGCUACAGACAGUGAAUGUUCGUUUUCUUCCACAUUGCUCAUCUUGCAAAAUUUAACUGGUUGACUUUGGUUCCAUAAAGAGCAAUAUUUGGGGUUAUCGCUGGAAGAGCAUCUUAUAUUUCAGACGGCACUUGACGCACCUCCGUUGGCUUUACUUCUCGUGUGUGGGGCUCGUCUUCCCGAGGCAGGUAACGUAACUUCUCUCUGUUGUUUCACUGUUUUGUUGCAACUUGCAAAUGUGAAGUUAACUGAGCUAAAUCCACGUGAAGUCAGUCUAUUAACAGUGUUACGUUUUAGAGCCACAAUUUUAUUUCUUUCCAUGCAUAAAUCUGUUAAUUUUAGUGUGCAGGGUUUCCCACACAUUGAUUUAUUACAAUAUCAAAACUGACCUCCACAAAUAGAUUUUCCAAAAGGCUUUGACUUCGUUGAAUAAACAUGAGCACUGCAGUUUCA
ensembl:lncRNA